GAAAAAUAAAGAAAUGACGAAGCCAACCCAAGUAUUAGUUAGAUCCGUCAGUAUAUUAUUUUUCAUCACAUUACUACACCUAGUCGUAGCGCUGAACGAUGUGGCCGGUCCUGCAGAAACAGCACCAGUGUCAUUACUACCUCGUGAAGCGCCGUGGUAUGACAAGAUCUGGGAAGUAAAAGAUUGGCUAUUACAGCGUGCCACAGAUGGCAAUUGGGGCAAGUCGAUCACCUGGGGUUCAUUCGUAGCGAGCGAUGCAGGUGUAGUAAUCUUUGGUAUCAAUGUGUGUAAGAACUGCGUGGGUGAGCGUAAGGAUGAUAUCAGUACGGACUGCGGCAAGCAAACACUUGCUUUACUAGUCAGCAUUUUUGUAGCAGUUACAUCCGGCCAUCAUCUUAUAUGGGGUGGUAAUAGGCCGGUGUCGCAGUCAGAUCCUAAUGGCGCUACCGUUGCUCGUCGUGACAUUUCUACUGUCGCAGACGGGGAUAUUCCACUCGACUUUAGUGCGUUGAACGACAUAUUAAAUGAACAUGGUAUUAGUAUACUCCCAGCUAACGCAUCACAAUAUGUCAAAAGAUCAGACACAGCCGAACACACGACAAGUUUUGUAGUGACCAACAACUACACUUCUUUGCAUACCGACCUGAUUCAUCAUGGUAAUGGAACAUAUACCACGUUUACCACACCUCACAUUCCAGCAGUGGCCAAGCGUUAUGUUUAUCCUAUGUGCGAGCAUGGUAUCAAGGCCUCAUACUGUAUGGCCCUUAAUGAUGCCAUGGUGUCGGCUAAUGGUAACCUGUAUGGACUAGCAGAAAAGCUGUUUAGUGAGGAUGAGGGACAAUGGGAGACGAAUUACUAUAAAUUGUAUUGGAGUACUGGCCAGUGGAUAAUGUCGAUGAAGUUUAUUGAGGAAAGUAUUGAUAACGCCAAUAAUGACUUUGAAGGCUGUGACACAGGCCACUAGGGCAUCGUGUCUGACCUCUGAUGCGAUAACUCGACCCUACAGAGCA
rnacentral:misc_RNA from 1 species